UACGAAGGGGGCUAGCGUUGCUCGGAAUCACUGGGCGUAAAGCGCACGUAGGCGGAUUGCUAAGUCAGGGGUGAAAUCCUGGAGCUCAACUCCAGAACUGCCUUUGAUACUGGCGAUCUUGAGUCCGGGAGAGGUGAGUGGAACUGCGAGUGUAGAGGUGAAAUUCGUAGAUAUUCGCAAGAACACCAGCGGCGAAGGCGGCGCUCUGGGCCGGUACUGACGCUGAGGAGCGAAAGCGUGGGGAGCAAACAGG
rnacentral:rRNA from 1 species